rnacentral:rRNA from 1 species
GACGAACGCUGGCGGCGUGCUUAACACAUGCAAGUCGAACGGAAAGGCCCUGCUUUUGUGGGGUGCUCGAGUGGCGAACGGGUGAGUAACACGUGAGUAACCUGCCCUUGACUUUGGGAUAACUUCAGGAAACUGGGGCUAAUACCGGAUAGGAGCUCCUGCUGCAUGGUGGGGGUUGGAAAGUUUCGGCGGUUGGGGAUGGACUCGCGGCUUAUCGGCUUGUUGGUGGGGUAGUGGCUUACCAAGGCUUUGACGGGUAGCCGGCCUGAGUGGGUGACCGGCCACAUUGGGACUGAGAUACGGCCCAGACUCCUACGGGAGGCAGCAGUGGGGAAUAUUGCGCAAUGGGCGGAAGCCUGAUGCAGCAACACCGCGUGCGGGAUGACGGCCUUCGGGUUGUAAACCGUUUUCGCCUGUGACGAAGCGUGAGUGACGGUAAUGGGUAAAGAAGCACCGGCUAACUACGUG